rnacentral:rRNA from 1 species
CCUACGGGAGGCAGCAGUGAGGAAUAUUGGUCAAUGGCCGGAAGGCUGAACCAGCCAAGUCGCGUGAGGGAAUAAGGCCCUAUGGGUCGUAAACCUCUUUUGUCAGGGAGCACAGGCGUCCACGAGUGGACGACAGGAGAUUACCUGAAAAAAAAGCAUCGGCUAACUCCGUGCCAGCAGCCGCGUUAAUACGGAGGAUGCGAGCGUUAUCCGGAUUUAUUGGGUUUAAAGGGUGCGUAGGCGGAGUGUCAAGUCAGCGGUAAAAUUUCGGGGCUCAACCCCGUCGUGCCGUUGAAACUGACAGUCUUGAGUGAGUGAGAAGUAAGCGGAAUGCGUGGUGUAGCGGUGAAAUGCAUAGAUAUCACGCAGAACGCCGAUUGCGAAGGCAGCAUACCGGCGCUCAACUGACGCUGAGGCACGAAAGUGCGGGUAUCGAACAGGAUUAGAUACCCUAGUAGUC